rnacentral:rRNA from 1 species
AGUGAACGCUGGCGGUAGGCCUAACACAUGCAAGUCGAACGGCAGCACAGUAAGAGCUUGCUCUUACGGGUGGCGAGUGGCGGACGGGUGAGGAAUACAUCGGAAUCUACUUUUUCGUGGGGGAUAACGUAGGGAAACUUACGCUAAUACCGCAUACGCUCUACGGGUGAAAGCAGGGGAUCUUCGGACCUUGCGCGAUUGAAUGAGCCGAUGUCGGAUUAGCUAGUUGGCGGGGUAAAGGCCCACCAAGGCGACGAUCCGUAGCUGGUCUGAGAGGAUGAUCAGCCACACUGGAACUGAGACACGGUCCAGACUCCUACGAGAGGCAGCAGUGGGGAAUAUUGGACAAUGGGCGCAAGCCUGAUCCAGCCAUACCGCGUGGGUGAAGAAGGCCUUCGGGUUGUAAAGCCCUUUUGUUGGGAAAGAAAAGCAGCAGGUUAAUACCCCGCUGUUCUGACGGUACCCAAAGAAUAAGCACCGGCUAACUUCGUG